rnacentral:lncRNA from 10 species
UGCAGGCCUGCAGGCCUCAGGAAGAGCAGCCCAUCUCAAAUGAGAAGGUUUCAGAGGCAGGAACAGUGAGUAAGGCACAAUCCCACAGGCGCCCAGCUCAGACCAGCAGGAUCUGAGGCCAGGGCCUGGCAGACGGAGCUGAGGGGAGAGGCUGCAAGUUCCCUUUUUGAAGAAUUUGGUAGCACAACACAGGCACAGGAGAGCUGGAAGUGCAGACACAAAGGGGACACCUGGGGAAGCUUGAAUGUUGAAAACAACCACGUCACAGGGAGAAGAAGCCACCUGCAGGCGAAGGAGAGAGGCCUCAGGGGAAACCAGCCCUGCUCACACCUGGACCUUGGGCUUCCAGCUCCCAGGACUGUGGGGAAAUGAAAUUCUGUUGAAGCCACCCAGGCUGCGGCAUUUGGUUAUGGCAGCCCUAGCAACGGAAUCUACUUUGUAAGGAAGAAUGACUUCAUCGGGUAGUUCCAGCGAUGGCUUGGGGACAUUUUGAUAGCCACUGACCCUAAGGACAGAGCUUUCCAAGUGCUUCCCUCCUUUGUCCCAGGCCAGCCCUGUAAUACCUCUUCUUUUUGAUGAUGACACCCAGGAUGGUAAUUGCUACCUCCGUGCAUAAUUGAAACUUUAAAAGAGGCGAUUCCGCAUCAAGCAUGCAAUGGAAGAAACUGGAAACUUGUGUCUGGUCUUGGGCUUUCAAGUCCCUGCUGUGGACAAUCUGCAUGUGACAGCUGAGACAGGAGGAAGAGGCCCAAGGGAACGCAUUCCUGCUAGGACAGAGCUGGCUGGCUGCACAGUGGAGAGUGUUUGCUGGAAGCUGCUACCAGCCAUGGGGCACCUACCCGCCCAGCGGCCCUUGCAUCCAGGUGGGGCUGCGUGAGUGGCUUUGACCGAUGCAGAGCCCUGGACAAAGGACGGAGCUGUGAAAACAGUGCCUGGAGGAUCUGAUCCCUUCUAGCAAGGCCAAGAGACACGGCUGGGCUGGGGAGGACGGGGUCUCCAGGCCUCACCAUGGCCACUUAUCUAGACGCCAGCAUCAAAAGGUUCAAAGCCCAGGUCACAGGCUCAUGAAAAAAUUAAGCAGGUAUCAAAAAAUAUCACAAAGGCAACAGUUUUAUGACAUGAAAACAUCUAUCAGAGACAAUAUAAACCUGUCUGCUAAUAGAACCAGGAUUGGACUUUCCCAGGAUGACCAGGUCGCAAGGGUUGAGAUGACAAAAUCCCCUUAUGGAUGGGACUUCUUGGUCCUGGGUUCCCUUGACUGUGGCUUCCAGAAGAGAAGAGCUUUGGAGUCCUGCUGAGAGUGCCAAAACUGUGGGGGCCAAGAGAUAACUCUCCCUUCACCCUCUGAAGUUUCACUGAAACAUCAACCGACAAAAAGCAGAUUAAUAGGAGAAAUGGCAUACGAAUGUGUUAAGGUGCGUGGAGGGAAUAUCACAGAGUGGUUACCCCAACCCCUCAAUGGUGUACAGAGCUUAUAUACCAUCCUGAGCUUCCAAAA